CGCGGGGCUGUGUCAAUUACAAUAAAAAUUUGUUAUAUAUAUAUAUAUAUAAUUGAUGAUAAGCGCGCGUCUACGGGUUGGAAAAUAUUGUUCUCUACGAGUGGUGAGCGGGGUGGGGCGAAUGCGUUACAACAGUAUAGUCUCAAGGUCAUACACGACGGGAUACGCGACAUAAUAACACGUGCCGCGUGGAGUUACAAACUUACAAACGAUAAACAACAAACAACAAACAACAUACACGUGAAACUAAUAUAAGCGUGUUAAAAAUAAUUAUUACUAACUCAGGCACGUAUUAAAAUGUAGCUGUUUAAAAAUGAAGAAAAUAACAGAAGACAAUUUGGGCUUUAACAAUAUAAUAAUAAGCAAAAUUAUACUUAACUUACAUCAAAUUCUUGAUCUUCAAAAUUUAUUCUACCGGAUUCAUCUAUUACUGAUUUAAUUGGUUGAUAUAUUAAUGGAAGCCUUUAAUUGCUUGAAGCUUAUAAAGUUAGAUGGGAAUAUUACUACCAGCUUGAGAUAAAUAUCUUAGACAUUGACAUUAAAUCACGAAAAAGGAGUUGAAGACCUUGUUUUAUUCAUUUAUAUCUUAAAUUGUUAGCAAAAAAAGUCUAAUUCUUAAUAAAUGAUAAGGAUUAUUUUUAGGGUCCCAUUAAUUCUAAUUUUUUUUAGUUGCCAUAAAAACUUAUUAUGGUUUUGACAAUAUUAUAAAAAAAAAAAAAAAAAAAAUAGAGAUAUAUAAGGUGUGCGCAAAAAAUAACGGGAAUUUUCGUUUUUUGAAAAAAAUAUUUAUUUAUUUGACUACAUUUAUGUUGUCGCCUUCAAAAAAGUCCCCAUUAGAUAUUAUGCACUUAUGCUAAAGCUUGUGAUCUUCAACAUCUUCACUAUCAUCUUGGAAACCCUUAUAAACUCGUAAACCCUAGCUUUACUCAUGGCAGACUCACCAUAGGCCUAUGUUUUAGAUUUCACAUAAAUUGUUACCCUUAAUUUCAUUUUUUUACACAAAAUUUUAAACAAAUCUUUUGAUCCAUUUUUUUUAAUGAACAAAAAUUGCCAAGCUCAUAAAAACAAGUCUAACUGUCAGCGGCUGCUACUGGCAAAGUAAAAAAUGGAUCCAACUGAAAAUUUAAUCAUACUUCAGGGACAUGUGUACCAACUAUAUGAAAUUUUUUUUUGUUAAUUGGACUUUCCAAACCCAUGAAAUCUAAAAAUUCCCAUUAUUUUCUGAAGACACUAUAUACAAAUCAUCAAUAUCCAUACUAACAUUAUCCAUUGUGAAAAAUUCUCUAUCCCAAUUUAAAGUGACUCCAAGAUUUACUAACUGAUUUUUUAUCACUUUCAUUUUUUCAUUUUUCCAUUUUUCCAUUUUUCCAUUUCAUAAUU